GCUUAACACAUGCAAGUCGAACGGAACCUUCGGGUUUAGUGGCGAACGGGUGAGUAAAGCGCAGGUAAUCUGCCGCAAAGAUGGGGACAACGUUGCGAAAGUGACGCUAAUACCGAAUGUUGUGCGGAGCUCGCAUGGGCUUUGCAUUAAAGAUUUAUCGCUUUGCGAGGAGCCUGCGUCCGAUUAGGUAGUUGGUGGGGUAAGAGCCUACCAAGCCGACGAUCGGUAGCCGGUCUGAGAGGAUGAACGGUCACAAUGGAACUGAGACACGGUCCAUACUCCUACGGGAGGCAGCAGUGGGGAAUAUUCCACAAUGGGGGAAACCCUGAUGGAGCGACGCCGCGUGAGUGAAGAAGGGCUUCGGCUCGUAAAGCUCUUUUAUCGAGGACGAAUGACCUGUUAGACAGGUAGAGACGGUACUUGGUGAAUAAGCCACGGCUAACUACGUGCCAGCAGCCGCGGUAAUACGUAGGUGGCAAGCGUUGUCCGGAAUUAUUGGGCGUAAAGGGAGCGCAGGCGGGACGACAAGUCCAAAUUAAAAGUGCAGGAGUAAUGCCUGUGAUGGUUUGGAAACUGUCGUUCUUGAGAGCAGGAGAGGCAAGCGGAAUUCCCGGUG
rnacentral:rRNA from 1 species